CUUAGGCUAAUGCUAGGCUAACGUACCCGUACAAUUAAUUAUCUUGAGUUAUUUUUUAAGUGGUUUCGUAAACCUAUGUUUAAUUCGAACUUUUAUUACUUCUUUUUUUACACUCGUUACCUACGAUAUUAAAAAUGUUGGGUUAAGAACUCGACAACAUUUAUGUGUAUUGCUCUAUCUUGUCACACGGUGACAGAUUUGAGCCACUUCACCUGCAUCAUGGCGUUUCCGGAAUAGGUGGAGCAUUGGGGAAAAGCGGGAUCGUUUGAAAGCUUCGGCGCACCGCUGAGUUUGGUUAUGGAGCUGCUAAUGGCGACCGUGUCCUGAUUCCAGAAAAUAUCUACUUUUGGUCCACUGUACAAAGAUGAUCUUCAAACAGGGAACAAAGGACAAAAGCAUUUACGGGCG